AACGCUGGCGGCGUGCCUAAUACAUGCAAGUCGAGCGCGGGAAGCGGACAAUCACCCUUCGGGGUGUGCGUCCGUGGAACGAGCGGCGGAUGGGUGAGUAUCACGUGGGCAACCUGCCUGUAAGAUUGGGAUAACUCGCGGAAACGUGAGCUAAUACCGAAUGAAGUCUUUCGCCGCCUGGUGAAAGGAUGAAAGAUGGCUCUUGAGCUAUCACUUACAGAUGGGCCCGCGGCGCAUUAGCUAGUUGGUGGGGUAAAGGCCUACCAAGGCGACGAUGCGUAGCCGACCUGAGAGGGUGAUCGGCCACACUGGGACUGAGACACGGCCCAGACUCCUACGGGAGGCAGCAGUAGGGAAUCUUCCGCAAUGGACGAAAGUCUGACGGAGCAACGCCGCGUGAGUGAUGGAGGUCUUCGGAUCGUAAAACUCUGUUGUCAGGGAAGAACAAGUUGUGUUCUAACAGGACAUGACCUUGACGGUACCUGACCAGAAAGCCCCGGCUAACUACGUGCCAGCAGCGGC
rnacentral:rRNA from 1 species